CUCAAGCACCGUGCAGAGGAAUUCUUGGAACAAGGAGAAGGAGAAGGCGAAGGUGUUGCCUUUGGAUCUUUGACCAGCAGCUUAGCUCAGUCCUUCCACAACAUGCCUUACCUUUCGUCUUGCUGCUUCACUGCAGAAGCCACUGCCAAUGCCAAUACCAAUAAUGGUGGCUAUUACUAUUACAGUGAAGACAAUGCUGCAGCAGAGGAAGAUGAGAUUUGGUCCUACUAAACUCUGCUUGAAGUGUCUCUUGUUAGCAUCUCCAGUUUGUUUUAGUUUGUGGUCGAGGUCGUCUGUUUUUUUAUAAUAAUCCCACCCCUUAGUUUGGGUGCAUGUUAAUUACUUUUGUUUGCAAUAGAUGCAGUAGACUGUCAUCUCCUAUUGCAACUAAGCUUAUGUUAUGACCGCAAUCAGUUUUAUAUUAAUGCUGUCUUUUUUUGUUUUAAGUAUUGAAUCGCCUCCUUAUGUUUGAUGAUGGUGUUAAUUGAAUCGCCUCCUUACGGGGGUAGGUGGCUUAGAUUCGUUCAUGAAAAUGUUUUAUUUUGUACAAGGG
rnacentral:misc_RNA from 1 species